rnacentral:rRNA from 1 species
GCCGGCAGCUACAGUUCAGCUCUCUGCAACUCUCACAUGGUCGCCCACUGAAGCUAAGCAGGGCUGAGCCUGGUCAGUACCUGGAUGGGAGACCACAUGGGAAAGCUAGGUUGCUGCCAGAA